rnacentral:rRNA from 1 species
GACGAACGCUGGCGGCGUGCUUAACACAUGCAAGUCGAACGCGCCUGUCCUCUGGGUUUCUGGGGGGUGGGUGAGUGGCGACCGGGUGAGUAACACGUGAGUAACCUGCCCCCUUCUUCGGGAUAACGGUCUGAAAGGGCUGCUAAUACCGGGUAUUCACUGGUCUCCGCAUGGGGUCUGGUGGAAAGGUUUUUUUCUGGUGGGGGAUGGGCUCGCGGCCUAUCAGCUUGUUGGUGGGGUGAUGGCCCACCAAGGCUUUGACGGGUAGCCGGCCUGAGAGGGUGACCGGUCACAUUGGGACUGAGAUACGGCCCAGACUCCUACGGGAGGCAGCAGUGGGGACUAUUGCACAAUGGGCGCAAGCCUGAUGCAGCGACGCCGCGUGAGGGAUGGAGGCCUUCGGGUUGUGAACCUCUUUCGCCCGUGGUCAAGCCGCGACGUGGGUCGUGGUGAGGGUAGUGGGUAAAGAAGCGCCGGCUAACUACGUG